rnacentral:lncRNA from 1 species
UGUGGCAGCGUGAGCUGUGGGAAGAGAAUCCACGUCUGUUGUGCCCAUCCCGCUAUCUUCUUGCCCGACACUGUUGCUAGAAUAUGUGACAUCUUCUUCCCUGCACGUCGGUGUGUUCAUGGAGGCAGUGUGGCCGUACUGGGUCAGGACUGAGGCUGAAGAAGCCAGGAGCGACGAUGUCUUUGGGUGAAAAUCUUACUGCUGUGGGGCAUGUGCAGUCGUGCGUAGGAUGUCUUGCUGCUGCCCCGUGUGUGAGGUGGAGGGGAACACCCCCCCUUCACCUGAAGCUGGGAGGACCUCUGAGGAGAUGAUCUCUUUAACUCCAAUCCUUUUAUGUCUGAAGUCGUGGAGGAUACCAGCAGGAACCAUGCCGUCUCGCUGCUACACGGUGACAGCCACGGACAGGGGUUGAACUGACGUGAUCUAAUCAAUCUGAAGAUUUCAUCUUAUAAAAAUAUUUACACUUUCUGAAAAUCAUAAAACCACAG